GGGCACCUAUAUUUAAAAAGGUAAAUGUCAGUUAAGCAGAAACCCAUUGAAGCACGUUUUGAAAUGAAGGACUCCUGUCUUAUCCUAGGCAGACAUAAAUGAAAGGACCAUCCAUCACUCACGGGGAAGCCUCAGAACUCGGAGUGGAACAGACGGGAGCACAGGUGCCAAACAGGAGAAAAUGUGCGGAAUCUAAAAUGAGUCGGGAGCUGACUCCCACCCUAACGUGACAUGGCCACUGGCCAAACUGAACACUUGCUGAGGCAUUGGCGCUGUCUUGACCCAGAAAGGACCCCAGAAUUUCUUAGGCUUACACAGUAUCAGCCUUGAACUUCUGAUUGAAGCGACCAGUGACUGUAAGCGAGACUGUCCUUCCUUCCUCGUGGCUCUGCCGGAAGCUGGCCCUUUGCACUCAACACUGACCAAGGAUUCCCCACGGAGGUCACCUUAGGGUAGCUGACUCUGUGAGGAAGUAAUUCUCUGGUGACCGUGGACCACCCUCCCGCCUCUGAAUGCUGGGGAGACUUAGCUGUGUCUGUGAAUCAAGCUUUGUGCACCCAGACAGAGGGCUCCACCCGGUGGGGCAGCCCCGCCGAGGGGUUUGAAACCUCCAUGAAGUCUAUGAGGCAGGCACUGGUCUCUACGGACGAAUAAACUGAGCAGAGACAGCAGUCAGUGGGUGGUAGAAGCAGAAGGCAUUGGGAAACUCCAGCAGGCACCAUGCAGUUAUUCCUGAGCAAGCUGGAUCCCUACUGAAAGUUGCAAUGAAAUUCCUGCGCUCGAAACAGAAAGAUCAGAUUUGACUAUGGGUUCAGAUUUUUGUGAUGUGGUAUUUUUGUGAUCCUGGAAUAUGUGAUCCAUUUAGUAAGAAAAUAAUCCUUUCAUGAUUCAGCUCUAUGCAUGAGGAAAGAUCAUUUCUCCCCUGAAUCCAGUGUUAUCUGAGACUCCACAAGCCACCCAUUCACACUGCAGUUCAAGGACAGAGCCGCCGGACUCUGGGGAAAACAGACCUAAGGACAAUUAAAGAUGACCCGAGCGGACCCAGCGGAUGUUGCCUCUUACCGCCUUCGAGAGCAGCCUGAGAGGGGCAAACUGAGCAGGAGACCGCCCAGCUCCCGCCUGCGUCCCCCCAGAGGAGAUCCCACAGGACAUCUGCUAGCAUCACCAUGCCCCAUGAUUAAGGUCAAGGGAAAACUACAACGAUGCAAUCCAGGCAGAGCUAUAAAUGGCCCAACUCUUCAGGAAUGAAGGUUUGGGUCAUCCCAGCAAGUGAAAAACCAUGGUCAGCGGAGGUACUUGUUGAAGACAAAAGAAAUACAGAAGGGGUAGCAGAAGAAGAUCGUUAUAAAUACCAGCGACAGCCAUGUGAUCACUAUAGAAAGGAGGACGAUAAAUGGAAAAAUAUCCUCAGGUAAGGA